UCCUGACCUCGGAUCAGACGUGAUUACCCGCUGAACUUAAGCAUAUCACUAAGCGGAGGAAAAGAAACUAACAAGGAUUCCCUUAGUAACGGCGAGUGAACAGGGAUGAGCCCAGCACCGAAGCCUGUGGCCAUUUGGUUACUAGGCAAUGUGGUGUUUAGGUCGUUCCGCAGAGACACUGCUCCUCUCUAAGUCCAUCAAUGAGUACGGUAGUACUGACAUGGCCCAUGGAGGGUGAAAGGCCCGUGAGAGAGGAGUUUUGGUAUGACAGUGUCUCUCUGGAUUGACCUUGGAGUCGGGUUGUUUGGGAAUGCAGCCCUAAGCGGGUGGUAAACUCCAUCCAAGGCUAAAUACAAGCACGAGUCCGAUAGCGAACAAGUACCGUGAGGGAAAGUUGAAAAGUACUUUGAAGAGAGAGUAAACAGUGCGUGAAACCGCUUAGAGGUAAACGGGUGGAGUUGAACUGGAAUCUCUGAGAAUUCAACUGGCGAAUAUUAUUUGAGCUUGGUCAAAUUGGCAGGGCCCUGGGGUAUGCUUAUGUGCAUGUUCUAACUUUCGGGUUAGGAUGCGCGUUGCUCUUAUCAAGGGCUGCGCGCCUCGGGUGUUCGGCUGGCCAUGUCACCGGUGCACUUUCUCAGAGUGAUCACCACGACCGGCGUGCUGCUUGACUGUUUUAGUUAAAUCGAGCGUUCAUCGUCCUUGUGGCGUUGGGUGAUCGACACGGCAGGUAACUGGGGGCUGGUUUCGGCUGGUUUCUUGGUGUAUGCUGGCUUUAACGGUUCUAUGCGGUGUGUCGGAGACGGCGGCUAGUAGUGUGUGCGUGCGUAUCGGUCUUUUGGCAAUUUCUGGUUUGGUGGCUGUGUGCUUGUUCAAGCAGGCCCGGUUAUGGCCAGGUUUGUCGGAAGUUGAUUGCGUGUGUGGCACUUUUCUGGGCCAACAGUCUGUGGUGUUGUGGUAGACUAUCCACCUGACCCGUCUUGAAACACGGACCAAGGAGAGUAACAUGUGCGCGAGUCAUUGGGCGUAACGAAACCCACAGGCGUAGUGAAAGUAAAGGUCUGGCUUGUCCAGUCUAAGGUGAGAUCCUGUCGUUGUUCAUGCGUGGUAUCACCAAGCUUGGAGCGAUGGGCGCAUCACCGGCCCGUCCCAUGACGUGGUCACAGUCUUCGGAUUGUGCGCCGUGGGGGCGGAGCAUGAGCGUACAUGUUGAGACCCGAAAGAUGGUGAACUAUGCUUGCGCAGGUUGAAGCCAGAGGAAACUCUGGUGGAGGACCGCAGCGAUUCUGACGUGCAAAUCGAUCGUCAAACGUGAGUAUAGGGGCGAAAGACUAAUCGAACCAUCUAGUAGCUGGUUCCCUCCGAAGUUUCCCUCAGGAUAGCUGAACAUCGA
rnacentral:rRNA from 1 species